rnacentral:rRNA from 1 species
AGAGUUUGAUCCUGGCUCAGGACGAACGCUGGCGGCGUGCUUAACACAUGCAAGUCGAACGGUGAUGGUCAAGCUUGCUUGACUGGAUCAGUGGCGAACGGGUGAGUAACACGUGAGUAACCUGCCCCUGACUCUGGGAUAACCGCGGGAAACGGCGGCUAAUACCGGAUACGAGAUGCCCACGCAUGUGGAGUGUCUGGAAAGAUUUAUUGGUCAGGGAUGGGCUCGCGGCCUAUCAGCUUGUUGGUGGGGUGAAGGCCUACCAAGGCGACGACGGGUAGCCGGCCUGAGAGGGCGACCGGCCACACUGGGACUGAGACACGGCCCAGACUCCUACGGGAGGCAGCAGUGGGGAAUAUUGCACAAUGGGCGAAAGCCUGAUGCAGCGACGCCGCGUGAGGGAUGAAGGCCUUCGGGUUGUAAACCUCUUUCAGCAGGGAAGAAGCGCAAGUGACG